rnacentral:rRNA from 1 species
CACCAAAGCUCCGAUUUUUUGACGAGCGCAUCUAUUAGAUUAAAACCAAUCGGGUUUCGGCCCGUCAAUUGGUGACUCUGAAUAACUAUGGCUGAUCGCAUGGUCUUGAACCGGCGACGUGUCUAUCAAGUGUCUGCCUUAUCAACUGUCGAUGGUAGUUUAUGUGCCUACCAUGGUUGUAACGGGUAACGGAGAAUAAGGGUUCGACUCCGGAGAGGGAGCCUGAGAAACGGCUACCACAUCCAAGGAAGGCAGCAGGCGCGCAAAUUACCCACUCUCGGCAUGAGGAGGUAGUGACGAAAAAUAACGAGACCGUUCUCUCUGAGGCCGGUUAUCGGAAUGGGUACAAUUUAAACCCGUUAACGAGGAUCUAUGAGAGGGCAAGUCUGGUGCCAGCAGCCGCGGUAAUUCCAGCUCUCAAAGUGUAUAUCGUCAUUGCUGCGGUUAAAAAGCUCGUAGUUGGAUCUGCGCCUCAGGACUUGGUCCGCCCACUGGGCGAGAACUGGGCUCCUGGGCUAGUACUGCUGGUUUUCCCUACGUUGCCUUCAUCGGUCGCGUAGGGUGGCUAGCGAGUUUACUUUGAAAAAAUUAGAGUGCUUCACGCGGGCUUAUGUCUGAAUACUCGUGCAUGGAAUAAUAGAAUAGGAUCUCGGUUCUAUUUUGUUGGUUUUCUGAUCUGAGAUAAUGGUUAAGAGGGACGGACGGGGGCAUUCGUAUCGCUGCGUGAGAGGUGAAAUUCUUGGACCGUAGCGAGACGUCCGACUGCGAAAGCAUUUGCCAAGAAUGUCUUCAUUAAUCAAGAACGAAAGUCAGAGGUUCGAAGGCGAUCAGAA